rnacentral:tRNA from 1 species
UGCCCCAUAGCCAAGCGGUAAGGCAUCGGACUCUGACUCCGACAUUUCGUUAGUUCGAAUCUAACUGGGGCAGCCA